UACGGAGGGAGCUAGCGUUAUUCGGAAUUACUGGGCGUAAAGCGCACGUAGGCGGCUUUGUAAGUAAGAGGUGAAAGCCCAGAGCUCAACUCUGGAAUUGCCUUUUAGACUGCAUCGCUUGAAUCAUGGAGAGGUCAGUGGAAUUCCGAGUGUAGAGGUGAAAUUCGUAGAUAUUCGGAAGAACACCAGUGGCGAAGGCGGCUGACUGGACAUGUAUUGACGCUGAGGUGGCGAAAGCGUGGGGAGCAAACAGG
rnacentral:rRNA from 1 species